CCUUACCAGGUCUCGACAUCCUCUGAUACUCCUAGAGAUAGGACUUUCUCCCUUCGGGGGACAGAGUGACAGGUGGUGCAUGGUUGUCGUCAGCUCGUGUNGUGAGAUGUUGGGUUAAGUCCCGCAACGAGCGCAACCCUUGAUCUUAGUUGCCAGCAUUCAGUUGGGCACUCUAAGGUGACUGCCGGUGACAAACCGGAGGAAGGUGGGGAUGACGUCAAAUCAUCAUGCCCCUUAUGACCUGGGCUACACACGUGCUACAAUGGAUGGUACAAAGGGCAGCGAAGCCGCGAGGUGGAGCCAAUCCCAUAAAACCAUUCUCAGUUCGGAUUGCAGGCUGCAACUCGCCUGCAUGAAGCCGGAAUCGCUAGUAAUCGCGGAUCAGCAUGCCGCGGUGAAUACGUUCCCGGGCCUUGUACACACCGCCCGUCACACCACGAGAGUUUGUAACACCCGAAGUNCGGUGGGGUAACCGUAAGGAGCCAGCCGCCUAAGGUGGGACAGAGGAUUGGGGUGAAGUCGUAACAAGGUAUCCGUAUC
rnacentral:rRNA from 1 species